CUACGGGAGGCAGCAGUGGGGAAUAUUGCACAAUGGGGGAAACCCUGAUGCAGCGACGCCGCGUGGAGGAAGAAGGUCUUCGGAUUGUAAACUCCUGUUGUUGAGGAAGAUAAUGACGGUACUCAACAAGGAAGUGACGGCUAACUACGUGCCAGCAGCCGCGGUAAAACGUAGGUCACAAGCGUUGUCCGGAAUUACUGGGUGUAAAGGGAGCGCAGGCGGGAAGACAAGUUGGAAGUGAAAUCUAUGGGCUCAACCCAUAAACUGCUUUCAAAACUGUUUUUCUUGAGUAGUGCAGAGGUAGGCGGAAUUCCCGGUGUAGCGGUGGAAUGCGUAGAUAUCGGGAGGAACACCAGUGGCGAAGGCGGCCUACUGGGCACCAACUGACGCUGAGGCUCGAAAGUGUGGGUAGCAAACAGGAUUAGAUACCCUGGUAGUCCACACCGUAAACGAUGAUUACUAGGUGUUGGAGGAUUGACCCCUUCAGUGCCG
rnacentral:rRNA from 1 species